rnacentral:lncRNA from 1 species
AGAGAGAAAAUUCUUAUAGAGUGGUACAAGAGUAAAACUUCACUGGAUCACUAGCGACGUCCUUUAGUUUGUAGUGUAACUCUUGAGUUUAGUUCGCGAAAGCAGAUUGUAGAGUCUUCAAAGAUAUUAUUAUUACGUGGAAAAACAGGUAAGGGCUCUUUCCCCAUACACUCAUACUAUAUAAAAAAACGUUGUAGAAUAGUGAUAAAUUCUUUAUCUACUAAAAAUAAAAUCACUAAAAAAAGAAAAGAAC